UCCAUCUCAAAAAAAAAAAAAAAAAUUGGAAUGAUACAGAGAUUAGCAUGGUCCCUGUGCAAGGAUGACGCAAAUUUGUAAAGUGUUCCAUAAAAAA
rnacentral:snRNA from 1 species